UUCCUGGCAGUCCAGUGGUUAGGACUUGACCCUUUCACUGCCAGGGCCUGGGGUUCGAUCCCCAGUCAGGGAA
rnacentral:tRNA from 1 species